rnacentral:tRNA from 1 species
UAAAAAGCCCCGCAAGCA